GGGCGCCAUUCCGGGAUGGAAUUUUGACAUGUUCAGCGUAAUGCCAAAUUGCCAAUCCAACCCUCGAGAGGAUCUCUUGAUAAACAAAAAGUAGUCUGAGAGUCUGAGAUUGAAUCGGACAAACUCGGUGAGUCAACAAUGUUUGCUCUUCUCUGUUCAAGACAGCUUCUAUUACUCAAAAGUAGGAGGACCCAACUGGGGGUUUUUCAGCAAAAUGCUUUCUUUAUUCUAAAAUCUUUCACACCGAUAGGAUUAUUUGAAUCUAACGAAACACAACAAGAAGAGAAACAUUCUUUUACAGUGUCUUACCUCAUAAACUCAUGUGGGUUGUCCCCAAAAUCUGCUAUUUUAGCAUCCCAGAGGAUGAACUUUGAGAACCCGGAGAGACCAGACUCAGUGCUUAAUCUUCUCAAAGAGAAUGGAUUCAACAAUACCCAGAUCUCCAAAAUUGUCAGGGUACGCCCACUGUUUCUUUUAUCUGAUCCUGAGAAGACCCUUUUGCCCAAGAUUGAGUUUUUCCGUUCUGUGGGGGUUUCGAGCUCUGACCUCCCUGUUAUCCUCUCUUCAAACCCAUCUUUGUUUUCAAGAAGCUUAAAGAAUCAACUAAUCCCCUGCUAUGAUUUCCUCAAGAGUGUGCUUCUUGUCGAGGAGAAAGUCGUUACAACUUUGAAGCACUCACCACGGGCUUUUCUAUAUAAUGUGACAAAUAAUAUGGCUCCUAACAUUGCACUUUUAAGACAACUUGGAGUGCCUCAAUCUUCCAUUUCCUUCUUGGUAAGUCAUUAUCCCUAUAGGGCGUUCACUAAGCAUACUAGGUUUGUUGAGGUUGUAAACCUGGUUAUGGAAAUGGGAUUCAAUCCCUUGAAAAUGAUGUUUGUCCAUGCAAUCCAAGUGUUAUUGAAGAUGGGCAAACCGAAGUUGGAGUCAAAGUUGGAGCUUUAUGAGAGGUGGGGCUGGUCAAAGGACAUGGCCCUCUCAGCAUUUAAAAGGAAUCCAAUUUGUAUGCUUUUAUCAGAAGAGAAGAUUACGAAAGCAAUGGACUUCCUUGUGAAAAAAAUGGGUUGUCUAUCUGCUAAUAUUGCUAUAAAUCCUGCAGUUCUAUCAUUCAGCUUGGAGAAGAGGAUAAUGCCUAGGUUUUCCGUUAUUCAGAUUUUAGUAGCCAAGGAUUUGGUCAAGAAUGAUUUGUCCUUGUCGACUAUCUUAUUGCCUAAUGAGAGGAGGUUUUUGGAAAAGUUUGUGAUCAAAUAUCAGGACGAUAUUCCUCAAUUGUUGAAUGUGUAUCAGGGUAAGAAGGAUGUUCUGGAGGUAGGGAGUCAAUCUGAGAAGGUUCCUAUGCUGCCGCCUUAAUUUUUUUUUUUUGGCUGACCAGCAACAACCACCACACCUCCUUCAACUAUGGCACAAUGCCACAACCGAAGUUUCAUGGCACUACUUCUAAUCAUCUUCUUCAAUCAUUGGCAUGUUGUACAUGCUCGGAGUUACUUGAGAAGAAGUUUGGUUUCAAACUCCGGUUCGAACAGGAGAGGUACACCAUGCUAAUGUGCCUUGGAGAGAUGAUCAGCUAGUCUAUCUCGAAGCGAACGCCCUGUAUGGUAGUGGACAUGUAGGACUUGCUCCAUCUCGCCUCGCAAGUGACACGCAGGGCAAGGUGGUAGUAAUUAAGACUGUAUAUGCAUGUGGUAGUUUUAGUGUAGGUUUCAUACUUCUUUACUUUCCUUUCUCUUCUUCUCAUUCGACAAACAUUUCUAUUCUCAUAUCAUCCACAUUGCAAAUCAUUGCCUCACUCCCUCUAGCCCUCUCAAGAGUGUAGCUUGGCUCUCAUCGUUGUAGCUUUAAUCUUCAAUAGUUUCUCUCUCUCUAACAAGUUUUUCUAAAUUCUCUCACUCAGGUGUAGUGUUUGACUCUCGUAAGCGCAUUCCCCCGUAAUCUGAGGUGCAUUGUUUCAUUCAAUUUAAUGUGUGGAAAUUUCAUUUCUACCGUUCGUAUGGCUUCUCGGACAAGCGGUGACCGCGGUGCAGUUUGAGCAAAAAUACUAAUAGAUGGUGAAGAUGAUCGGUAAUGGCCUGCCCUAGAUGGGUGGUGCAGUUUCUCAAAAACGCUAACUACCUAAGGCGAUAGAGAAGGCAGAGACAGUUAUAAGGCAAUAAUCACUAUUUUAGGGCAAUGUACACCCCUAGUGAUAAUGUUGACAAUGUCGAAGCACCUGAGUGUGGUAAAGCUAAAGCGACAUAGAAGAACACGAGAAUGCACACUUUAGAUUUUUUUUCUAUCUUCUUUUCCAAUUUGUAUUUUUUUGUAUUUUAUUUUAUUUUUUAUUUUUAAGAGCUUUAGUUCGAUAUAAGCUCAAGCUUGAGCACUCGUGUUAAGCUUAAGCCGAGUUAGAACUAGUUUGUCAAAUGGAUGGAUUUUCAGUCUAUACUUAUUGGACUUUUGUUUAG